rnacentral:misc_RNA from 1 species
GGGGAAGGGUUCCAUAACA